rnacentral:rRNA from 1 species
UGCAGUCGACGGUAACAUUUCUAGCUUGCUAGAAGAUGACGAGUGGCGGACGGGUGAGUAAUGCUUGGGAACUUGCCUUUGCGAGGGGGAUAACAGUUGGAAACGACUGCUAAUACCGCAUAAUGUCUUCGGACCAAACGGGGCUUCGGCUCCGGCGCAAAGAGAGGCCCAAGUGAGAUUAGCUAGUUGGUAAGGUAACGGCUUACCAAGGCGACGAUCUCUAGCUGUUCUGAGAGGAAGAUCAGCCACACUGGGACUGAGACACGGCCCAGACUCCUACGGGAGGCAGCAGUGGGGAAUAUUGCACAAUGGGGGAAACCCUGAUGCAGCCAUGCCGCGUGUGUGAAGAAGGCCUUCGGGUUGUAAAGCACUUUCAGUUGUGAGGAAAAGUUAGUAGUUAAUACCUGCUAGCCGUGACGUUAACAACAGAAGAAGCACCGGCUAACUCCGUGCCAGCAGCCGCGGUAAUACGGAGGGUGCGAGCGUUAAUCGGAAUUACUGGGCGUAAAGCGCACGCAGGCGGUUUGUUAAGCUAGAUGUGAAAGCCCCGGGCUCAACCUGGGAUGGUCAUUUAGAACUGGCAGACUAGAGUCUUGGAGAGGGGAGUGGAAUUCCAGGUGUAGCGGUGAAAUGCGUAGAUAUCUGGAGGAACAUCAGUGGCGAAGGCGACUCCCUGGCCAAAGACUGACGCUCAUGUGCGAAAGUGUGGGUAGCGAACAGGAUUAGAUACCCUGGUAGUCCACACCGUAAACGCUGUCUACUAGCUGUGUGUGUCUUUAAGGCGUGCGUAGCGAAGCUAACGCGCUAAGUAGACCGCCUGGGGAGUACGGCCGCAAGGUUAAAACUCAAAAUGAAUUUGACGGGGGCCCGCACAAGCGG